GAUGAACGUUGGCGGAAUGCUUUACACAUGCAAGUCGAACGGCAGCACGGGGGCAACCCGGGUGACGAGUGGCGGACGGGUGAGUAAUGUCUGGGGAUCUGCCCGAUAGAGGGGGAUAACCACUGGAAACGGUGGCUAAUACCGCAUAACGUCGCAAGACCAAAGAGGGGGACCUUCGGGCCUCUCACUAUCGGAUGAACCCAGAUGGGAUUAGCUAGUAGGCGGGGUAACGGCCCACCUAGGCGACGAUCCCUAGCUGGUCUGAGAGGAUGACAAGCCACACUGGAACUGAGACACGGUCCAGACUCCUACGGGAGGCAGCAGUGGGGAAUAUUGCACAAGGGGCGCAAGCCUGAUGCAGCCAUGCCGCAUGUAUGAAGAAGGCCUUCGGGUUGUAAAGUACUUUCAGCGGGGAGGAAGGCGAUGUGGUUAAUAACCGCAUUGAUUGACGUUACCCGCAGAAGAAGCACCGGCUAACUCCGUGCCAGCCGCCGCGGUAA
rnacentral:rRNA from 1 species